AGUAAAAGCAAAAGAUGUGAGCGGGUACCUUCCUUCCUUCUGACAUUAUCUCCACCUUAUCAACAGUCCAUUGUUACCAAGGCAUUAACAACACUUACCAAACAAAGUCUAGAAGCCCUUUGGGCAGUCUUGCUAAGAACCAUCUUAUUCUAGACUGAUUUGGCCUUGAGGAUGACCACAUCUCCUCAGGACAGUUCUCCCUGGAUUCCUCCAUUGGCUAUUUUGGGAAAUGACGCACUUGGACAAAUGGUCUACCUAAAUGAAUGAUUCAGGUCUGAGCAGCAUGAGACACUGGCAGAUAGGAAUGCCUCCCUUAGCAGCAGGAAAUUCAGCACUUACCACAUCCCAUGCGGCAUACUCUCCCAGAAUACUUUUAAUAUGAUAUCCCAGUGUAUUUAACAUUUUAAAAUUACUCCAUUUGGUUAAAAUCAAUUAGAUUUUUUUGAGGAUCUUGGUCUUUCUCCAGCCCAGUUUAAACCAUAAUUUCCUGAAGACUAGGAUUAUCUCACCAUGUUCUUUUUCACGUCCCCGUCAUUUCUAGUCAAGCCUCAAAACGUGAAGUCUGCACUGUGGGUUCAUAGCACCUCAGAGAUCAUCUCGAUUCUCCCCAUCCCACAGUGGGAAAGUGACCUCAGUCAACGUGGAGUAGAGUGUUUAGUCUCAGCCUUAAAAUAAGUGUUUUCAUUUUUAUUGUCUUUUCUUCCUGUCUGCUUCUCAGAGUAGAAGCAACAGUAAUUUAAACUUUUCUGCUAUGCGACCUACACUCCACAGGACAAUGAGAAUACAGUUUCCUCCGGAAAAAUCUUAGGCUGAUCUUGGAAGAAAGACCCCGUGGAUCAUCUAAAAAUAAAGUUUUCUAUUUAAAGGUUGGUUUUAAUGCUCGUUAUAGCCCUAUGUGCUACCAGAAAAUGGUUUGCCUUUUUGUUUUAAACAUAAGGAAUCAAUGUAAUGCCUUAUGCCUGAUAACCUGUGCUGUUGUAUUUGGUCCUCCCUACAACUCUGUCCAUAGAUAUUAUUGUUGCCACUUUAUAGAUGAAAAAACGGAAGCAAAACCAUUAAGUGCCUUCCCCAAGGUCUUAAAAGAAGUCACCAAGAAGGUGGUGUGGCUCAAGUCUCCUGACUCCAGUUUACUAUUCCCCGCAAUAAUGUUGGAAAACCACAUUGGAACGGGAAGACUCAUUCCAAGUACUGCUGUCACACCAGCAAGCUUCAAAGAACAUCCCUGUAGCUAAAUGGUGUUCAAAGUAAACAUGGAGAACAGAAAGCAUCCAUCUCUACCUAGUGGGGCAAAAAAUGACUGAAUUCCCAUACCAUAUAAAUACCCCAUGAAAACACAGAGGAAUCCUUGAUCCACCCAGCAUUCACUGAGUAUCUGCCUCGUGGCAAGCACUGCGGAUGUGCUUGGAUACAAAGAUAAAUAAAACGUGGGCUCCACUCCCA
rnacentral:lncRNA from 1 species